rnacentral:lncRNA from 12 species
CAGUGAAACAGAUGGCUCUCUUAAGAUGCUUUUGGCUGGGAAAGAACAAAAGCAGAAGAGAGGCUCUAGGUGAGAAAUGUGAUUAAGCAAGCUGCUAUACUAUGUUUCCAAGGCCCAGUCUCUGAAAGCAAUUCAAAUGCCUCUAUCAACCAACAAAAUCCAUUUCAAAAUUCAGAAUGAGCAU